rnacentral:rRNA from 2 species
AAACUUUCAACAACGGAUCUCUUGGCUCUGGCAACGAUGAAGAACGCAGCGAAACGCGAAAGGUAAUGCGAAUUGCAGAAUCAGUGAGUCAUCG